UAUAUGCACACACUCUCACACGCACAAAUGCAAACACUCAUUCCAUGACAUACAGUCUCUCACACUAAUAUACACACACACUCACACACACAGUCUCUCACACUAAUAUACGCGCACACUCACACAUGCACAGUUACUCCAUGACACACAGUCUCUCACACUAAUAUACACACACACUGGCACACACAGUCUCUCACACUAAUAUACACACACACUCACACACGCACAGUUACUCC